UGUCUAUUUUUGUUGAUAUUUGUCUAACAUUUCUAUUUGUCAGUAUUAUAGACGUGGAGGUCACAUGCGUGGUGCAUUUUCACAAGGAAAGCGAGCGGCCCCUUCACAUUCGCCUUCCCCUUCCUCGUCCUCAUCCCCGUCCCAGUAAUCUUCCCCUUCCCUUUCAUCUCACCCUCCACCACUACAUGUUAACCCUCCAUCUGCCUCGGUUCCACCUUCUCUAGUGGCACAAUCGAAUGAUCGGGAGAGCUUAGCUGCAUAAGAUAGCCGACGUGUGAUAUGCCCACAGGGAGACUCGUAAAUUUGAAGAUGCUACGGAUGUCGUGCGGGAACUUAAUAAAAUAACGAAUAACUAUUGAAGAGGCCCGUGGAUUAGCAGCUUACUGUAGA